GGGCAGCUCCGUGAGUGAGCUGGAUGGAUCGCCCUAGAAAUUGACACACUGUGCAGGAGCAUUGCAGCUGUCAGAUGGAUGAUAUCCUACAUCAAGUGAACUGGGUACCCUACGUCAAGUGAAGCCGUAUAUAUUUAGCGUGCUGUGUAACGGCCCACCUGCAGUUUUCGUGUCG